GUGAAGAACGUAGCGAAAUGCGAUACGUAAUGUGAAUUGUAGAAUUCAGUGAAUCAUCGAGUCUUUGAACGCACAUUGCGCCCCCUGGUAUUCCGGGGGGCAUGCCUGUCCGAGCGUCAUUGCUGCCCUCAAGCACGGCUUGUGUGUUGGGCCUCCGUCCUCCUCCCGGGGGACGGGCCCGAAAGGCAGCGGCGGCACCGCGUCCGGUCCUCGAGCGUAUGGGGCUUCGUCACCCGCUCUUGUAGGCCCGGCCGGCGCUUGCCGACACAUCAAUCUUUUUUCCAGGUUGACCUCGGAUCAGGUAGGGAUACCCGCUGAACUUAAGCAUAUCAAUAAGCGGAGGA
rnacentral:misc_RNA from 1 species